rnacentral:rRNA from 1 species
GGGCGGGACACGUGGUAUCCUGUCUGAAUAUGGGGGGACCAUCCUCCAAGGCUAAAUACUCCUGACUGACCGAUAGUGAACCAGUACCGUGAGGGAAAGGCGAAAAGAACCCCGGCGAGGGGAGUGAAACAGAACCUGAAACCGUGUACGUACAAGCAGUGGGAGCCCCACCACUAAGCCAGUGGUGAACUCCACAUACGCAUCCUUUGCUGAGGAUACGGUUAACGGAGCGAAAGCGACGUUUAACCGCAAAAGAAGCAGAGGGGGCUUAGUGGUGGGGUGACUGCGUACCUUUUGUAUAAUGGGUCAGCGACUUAUAUUCUGUAGCAAGGUUAACCGCAUAGGGGAGCCGGAGGGAAACCGAGUCUUAAUUGGGCGUUAAGUUGCAGGGUAUAGACCCGAAACCCGGUGAUCUAGCCAUGGGCAGGUUGAAGGUUGGGUAACACUAACUGGAGGACCGAACCGACUAAUGUUGAAAAAUUAGCGGAUGACCUGUGGCUGGGGGUGAAAGGCCAAUCAAACCGGGAGAUAGCUGGUUCUCCCCGAAAGCUAUUUAGGUAGCGCCUCGUGAAUUCAUCUCCGGGGGUAGAGCACUGUUUCGGCCAGGGGGCCAUCCCGGCUUACCAAUCCGAUGCAAACUGCGAAUACCGGAGAAUGUUAUCACGGGAGACACACGGCGGGUGCUAACGUCCGUCGUGAAGAGGGAAACAACCCAGACCGCCAGCUAAGGUCCCAAAGUCAUGGUUAAGUGGGAAACGAUGUGGGAAGGCCCAGACAGCCAGGAUGUUGGCUUAGAAGCAGCCAUCAUUUAAAGAAAGCGUAAUAGCUCACUGGUCGAGUCGGCCUGCGCGGAAGAUGUAACGGGGCUAAACCAUGCACCGAAGCUGCGGCAGCGAACGUAUCACCCAAGACAACUUUACACAGUUGACGACUGACGGAGCGAAGCGACGUCAAAGCGUUUUACAACGUCGAGUUGGCUUAGGGAUACGUUCG